UUUUGAUAUUGAAUAACUCCAAAGGAUACCUGUGAUAAAGGGUUAUUUCUCAGCUUGCUGUUAUUGAGAGAUGGUAGAAACUUCGAGGGGUGGGGCCUAAUGUGAAGUUGUAGGGCCACGGGAUCUGCCUUGAAUGGAUAGUGGGAUUGCUGUCCCUUAUUUCUUUUUUGUGUUUAUUUUCCAACCAUAAGAUGAGCAGAUUACUUUCUUCAUGUUCUCCCCAAUCCCGAUUUUCUGCCUUGCUAAAAAUCCGAAAGAAACCAGGCCUACCAACCAUGGAUUGAAAUCUCUAAAACUGAAAUUAACAAAAUUGGCUCAACUAUUAGAAAUUUCAAUUAACUAGACAUCUGUUGAAAACACACCGAAUAGAAUACAAUCUGUUUAAAAUAUUUUUUACAUAAGGUGGCUGACAGUGCAAUAAAGCAAACAACAAGAGGAAUAAGGGGAAUGAUCUGUAUUCAGCCCAUCGCAGACAACUGAAUCCACAAUGAAACACUAGAGCCUUCUACCAAUGCCACACCUCUAAACCAUAAAAACACACCAGUGACUUUGUUCU